GGCAGCGCCCUGAUAGAGCAUCCAGCAGGAGCUGAAACCGCUGCUGUAGGCAGCCCAGACCCCACUGGAGGAGAGACAGGUUGGAGUUUGUUCAACAGCUACCAAGUAUGAUCUCUGGGAAAAUCCAAAGGAAGAAACUAAGGAACAAGGAAUGGGGAAGAGCCUGGCUUUGCUGCUGAUCAGAACGUGCUCAUCCUGGACUGCUUUUCUGCCUUCUGGUCUUAAGAGCUAUGAAGCACGUAAUUGCCUGAGGACAAAAACAAAGAGAAAACAAGUGCAUAAAAUGCUGCAUCC
rnacentral:lncRNA from 1 species